rnacentral:rRNA from 1 species
GGUCGGAUUAGCUAGUUGGUGGGGUAAAGGCCUACCAAGGCGACGAUCCGUAACUGGUCUGAGAGGAUGAUCAGUCACACUGGAACUGAGACACGGUCCAGACUCCUACGGGAGGCAGCAGUGGGGAAUAUUGCACAAUGGGCGCAAGCCUGAUGCAGCCAUGCCGCGUGUAUGAAGAAGGCCUUCGGGUUGUAAAGUACUUUCAGCGGGGAGGAAGGGAGUAAAGUUAAUACCUUUGCUCAUUGACGUUACCCGCAGAAGAAGCACCGGCUAACUCCGUGCCAGCAGCCGCGGUAAUACGGAGGGUGCAAGCGUUAAUCGGAAUUACUGGGCGUAAAGCGCACGCAGGCGGUUUGUUAAGUCAGAUGUGAAAUCCCCGGGCUCAACCUGGGAACUGCAUCUGAUACUGGCAAGCUUGAGUCUCGUAGAGGGGGGUAGAAUUCCAGGUGUAGCGGUGAAAUGCGUAGAGAUCUGGAGGAAUACCGGUGGCGAAGGCGGCCCCCUGGACGAAGACUGACGCUCAGGUGCGAAAGCGUGGGGAGCAAACAGGAUUAGAUACCCUGGUAGUCCACGCCGUAAACGAUGUCGACUUGGAGGUUGUGCCCUUGAGGCGUGGCUUCCGGAGCUAACGCGUUAAGUCGACCGCCUGGGGAGUACGGCCGCAAGGUUAAAACUCAAAUGAAUUGACGGGGGCCCGCACAAGCGGUGGAGCAUGUGGUUUAAUUCGAUGCAACGCGAAGAACCUUACCUGGUCUUGACAUCCACGGAAGUUUUCAGAGAUGAGAAUGUGCCUUCGGGAACCGUGAGACAGGUGCUGCAUGGCUGUCGUCAGCUCGUGUUGUGAAAUGUUGGGUUAAGUCCCGCAACGAGCGCAACCCUUAUCCUUUGUUGCCAGCGGUCCGGCCGGGAACUCAAAGGAGACUGCCAGUGAUAAACUGGAGGAAGGUGGGGAUGACGACAAGUCAUCAUGGCCCUUACGACCAGGGCUACACACGUGCUACAAUGGCGCAUACAAAGAGAAGCGACCUCGCGAGAACAAGCGGACCUCAUAAAGUGCGUCGUAGUCCGGAUUGGAGUCUGCAACUCGACUCCAUGAAGUCGGAAUCGCUAGUAAUCGUGGAUCAGAAUGCCACGGUGAAUACGUUCCCGGGCCUUGUACUCACCGCCCGUCACACCAUGGGAGUGGGUUGCAAAAGAAGUAGGUAGCUUAACCUUCGGGAGGGCGCUUACCACUUUGUGAUUCAUGACUGGGGUGAAGUCGGAACAAGGUA